rnacentral:rRNA from 1 species
GAUGGACGCUGGCGGCGUGCCUAACACAUGCAAGUCGAACGGAGUCCAGCCUUUAAGACCUUCGGGUCAAAGAGGGGAAGACUGAGUGGCGGACGGGUGAGUAACACGUGGGCAACCUGGCUCAUAGAGGGGGAUAACAGAGAGAAAUUUCUGCUAAUACCGCAUAAGCACACACUGCCGCAUGGCAGAGGGUGAAAAGAGAAUCGCUAUGAGAUGGACCCGCGUCUGAUUAGCCAGUUGGCAGGGUAAGAGCCUACCAAAGCGACGAUCAGUAGCCGAUCUGAGAGGAUGAACGGCCACAUUGAGACUGAGACACGGCCCAAACUCCUACGGGAGGCAGCAGUGGGGGAUAUUGCACAAUGGGGGGAACCCUGAUGCAGCGACGCCGCGUGAGUGAAGAAGUAUUUCGGUAUGUAAAGCUCUAUCAGCAGGGAAGAUAAUGACAGUACCUGAAUAAGAAGCCCCGGCUAACUACGUG